UAAGUGACUAAGCGUACACGGUGGAUGCCUGGCAGUCAGAGGCGAUGAAGGACGUACUAACUUGCGAUAAGCGCAGAUAAGGCAGUAAGAGCCGUUUGAGUCUGCGAUUUCCGAAUGGGGAAACCCAACUGCAUAAGCAGUUACUGUUAACUGAAUACAUAGGUUAACAGAGCGAACCGGGGGAACUGAAACAUCUAAGUACCCCGAGGAGAAGAAAUCAACCGAGAUUCCGGUAGUAGCGGCGAGCGAACCUGGAUUAGCCCUUAAGCACUCGGUGAAGUAGGUGAACAAGCUGGAAAGCUUGGCGAUACAGGGUGAUAGCCCCGUAACGACGCUUCAUCGAGCGUGAAAUCGAGUAGGACGGGACACGUGAUAUCCUGUCUGAAUAUGGGGGGACCAUCCUCCAAGGCUAAAUACUCCUGACUGACCGAUAGUGAACCAGUACCGUGAGGGAAAGGCGAAAAGAACCCCUGUGAGGGGAGUGAAAUAGAACCUGAAACCGUGUACGUACAAGCAGUAGGAGCACCUUCGUGGUGUGACUGCGUACCUUUUGUAUAAUGGGUCAGCGACUUAUAUUCAGUGGCAAGGUUAACCGUAUAGGGGAGCCGUAGCGAAAGCGAGUCUUAACUGGGCGCUCAGUCUCUGGAUAUAGACCCGAAACCGGGUGAUCUAGCCAUGGGCAGGUUGAAGGUUGAGUAACAUCAACUGGAGGACCGAACCGACUAAUGUUGAAAAAUUAGCGGAUGACUUGUGGCUAGGGGUGAAAGGCCAAUCAAACUCGGAGAUAGCUGGUUCUCCCCGAAAGCUAUUUAGGUAGCGCCUCGGACGAAUACUACUGGGGGUAGAGCACUGUUAAGGCUAGGGGGUCAUCCCGACUUACCAACCCUUUGCAAACUCCGAAUACCAGUAAGUACUAUCCGGGAGACACACGGCGGGUGCUAACGUCCGUCGUGGAGAGGGAAACAACCCAGACCGCCAGCUAAGGUCCCAAAGUAUUGCUAAGUGGGAAACGAUGUGGGAAGGCUCAGACAGCUAGGAUGUUGGCUUAGAAGCAGCCAUCAUUUAAAGAAAGCGUAAUAGCUCACUAGUCGAGUCGGCCUGCGCGGAAGAUGUAACGGGGCUAAGCAAUACACCGAAGCUGCGGCAAUGUCUUUUAGACUUGGGUAGGGGAGCGUUCUGUAAGCCGUUGAAGGUGAAUCGUAGGUUUGCUGGAGGUAUCAGAAGUGCGAAUGCUGACAUGAGUAACGACAAAGGGGGUGAAAAACCUCCUCGCCGGAAGACCAAGGGUUCCUGUCCAACGUUAAUCGGGGCAGGGUGAGUCGACCCCUAAGGUGAGGCCGAAAGGCGUAAUCGAUGGGAAACGGGUUAAUAUUCCCGUACUUCUGACUAUUGCGAUGGGGGACGGAGAAGGCUAGGUGGGCCAGGCGACGGUUGUCCUGGUUCAAGUGCGUAGGCUUGAGAGUUAGGUAAAUCCGGCUCUCUCUAAGGCUGAGACACGACGUCGAGCUACUACGGUAGUGAAGUCAUUGAUGCCAUGCUUCCAGGAAAAGACCUCUAAGCUUCAGAUAGUCAGGAAUCGUACCCCAAACCGACACAGGUGGUCGGGUAGAGAAUACCAAGGCGCUUGAGAGAACUCGGGUGAAGGAACUAGGCAAAAUGGUACCGUAACUUCGGGAGAAGGUACGCUCUUGAUGGUGAAGUCCCUCGCGGAUGGAGCUGACGAGAGUCGCAGAUACCAGGUGGCUGCAACUGUUUAUUAAAAACACAGCACUGUGCAAAAUCGCAAGAUGACGUAUACGGUGUGACGCCUGCCCGGUGCCGGAAGGUUAAUUGAUGGGGUUAGCGCAAGCGAAGCUCUUGAUCGAAGCCCCGGUAAACGGCGGCCGUAACUAUAACGGUCCUAAGGUAGCGAAAUUCCUUGUCGGGUAAGUUCCGACCUGCACGAAUGGCGUAAUGAUGGCCACGCUGUCUCCACCCGAGACUCAGUGAAAUUGAAAUCGCUGUGAAGAUGCAGUGUACCCGCGGCUAGACGGAAAGACCCCGUGAACCUUUACUACAGCUUGGCACUGAACAUUGAACCUACAUGUGUAGGAUAGGUGGGAGGCUAUGAAGACGUGACGCCAGUUGCGUUGGAGCCGUCCUUGAAAUACCACCCUUGUAUGUUUGAUGUUCUAACUUAGACCCAUUAUCUGGGUUGAGGACAGUGCCUGGUGGGUAGUUUGACUGGGGCGGUCUCCUCCCAAAGAGUAACGGAGGAGCACGAAGGUGGGCUAAUCACGGUUGGACAUCGUGAGGUUAGUGCAAUGGCAUAAGCCCGCUUAACUGCGAGAAUGACGGUUCGAGCAGGUGCGAAAGCAGGUCAUAGUGAUCCGGUGGUUCUGUAUGGAAGGGCCAUCGCUCAACGGAUAAAAGGUACUCCGGGGAUAACAGGCUGAUACCGCCCAAGAGUUCAUAUCGACGGCGGUGUUUGGCACCUCGAUGUCGGCUCAUCACAUCCUGGGGCUGAAGUCGGUCCCAAGGGUAUGGCUGUUCGCCAUUUAAAGUGGUACGCGAGCUGGGUUUAGAACGUCGUGAGACAGUUCGGUCCCUAUCUGCCGUGGGCGUUGGAAGAUUGAAGGGGGCUGCUCCUAGUACGAGAGGACCGGAGUGGACGAACCUCUGGUGUUCGGGUUGUGUCGCCAGACGCAUUGCCCGGUAGCUAAGUUCGGAAUUGAUAAGCGCUGAAAGCAUCUAAGCGCGAAGCGAGCCCUGAGAUGAGUCUUCCCUGACAGUUUAACUGUCCUAAAGGGUUGUUCGAGACUAGAACGUUGAUAGGCAGGGUGUGUAAGCGUUGUGAGGCGUUGAGCUAACCUGUACUAAUUGCCCGUGAGGCUUAACCA
rnacentral:rRNA from 2 species